rnacentral:rRNA from 1 species
GACGAACCGUGCGAACGUUAUUCGGAAUCAUUGGGCUUAAAGCGCGUGUAGGCGGGUUCGUGCGUCUGUCGCUGAAAUCCCCCGGCUCAACCGGGGAACGGGCGCGGAUACGACGAGCCUGGAGGGGCAUAGGGGGACCUGGAACUUCCGGUGGAGCGGUGAAAUGCGUUGAGAUCGGAAGGAACGCCCGUGGCGAAAGCGAGGUCCUGGAUGCCUACUGGCGCUGAGACGCGAAAGCCAGGGGAGCGAACGGG